rnacentral:lncRNA from 1 species
GAGUAGGAAAAGGAAAAAAUAAAAACUAAAAAGGAAAAAUUUAGUUCAAAAACAAGGAAUAAGAAAAGUAUAACUUUUCCACAAAAGUCAAAAAGCUAAUAAAACGUAAGCCUAAGUGCAAUGAGUGAGAAUCGAACCUGGGUCUUGCUUUCAGCAAAGACCUUCAUUCCAACUUCAGAACCACAGCACCCAUCAGUCGUUUUUUUUAAUGGGUGCUCACUAAAUAAUCAUAUCAUAUUGCUUAAAUUUUUGUUAUAGCU